GGAGUUACAGUCUUUCCCUGCCUGAAUGUGGUGAUCUGUCUCCAUUGUCCAAAUCAAUUUGCAGACCGCAAGCUUGGAACUUUACCAACACCUUCUCCAAAAGUAGGUGCAAACUCAGAGAUCAUUUUGGGGCAAACAGAUUAUGAUGGUUGUGGGAUAUAGAGUGGAUCCCAUGAAGUUGAAGGAGUUCAUGGAACAGGAGCAGCCAAUGGAGAACAGUCCUGACUAUGAGAUGAAGAAACAACUACAGGUGCCCAAAGACGCCCUUGGAUGUACUUUGGAUCACUAGAUGUUACCUGCCCUAUUGCCCGAAUAUUUUUGAACUCAAAUGUUUCCACCUGAUUAAUAUAAGUUUAAGUCAUUUACUCCUUGAACCUCUUGGGUUUCUCCUUGAGAGACUUAGAGAUACACUGGAAUGCCUAUAAUUGAAGUCCUGUGAAAUGGGGGAAACUCACUUCAAUGCCCUGCUACCUGCCCUAAGUCAAUGUUACCAACUCGCAGAAGUCAAUUUCUAUGGUAAUAAACUCUCUCUGCUUUCCCUGAAACAAAUUCUACACCACACAACCAACCUUAGCCAGCUAAUUGGUGAACUGUACCCUGCCCCUCAGGAGUGCUAUGAUAAAAGAGAUGUAAUACUACCUCACAGAUUAGAAAUUUUUUGCCCUGAACUCCUGGAUAUACUCAUGGCCAUAAGACAGCCAGAGGAUGUCACCUUUGCUACAACCAGAUGCUCUAAGUAUGGUGUGUCCUAUGUUUAUGAUCUGGAGAACCAAUGUUGCUUUUUUGAAAAAAAACCCACUGUGCGAUUGAUUGUGGAAGACAGAAAUGGAAGCUUGAUAUUGGGGAUUGAUGAAAUUGCUGAAAAGAGCAUGGAUAUGUCAAUUACCUAAAUGUCUGAGACACACUGGAAAGGCAAGCUCAUCCUCACAGCAGGUAAAUGAGUGUUGCAUCUGCAAAACAUAUCAAGCACUCUUUUCUUCUCUAGGAUUAUUGUAGUUUGAGUGUGUUACAAUAGAGGCACCCUUCCAUGAGGAUAUUGUUCCACUCUGUUGACUGCAUACAAUAAAUGUGUUGACUUUCUGGGUUGCUGGUAUGUCUCUAUCAAAGCACAGAGCCAGCAUUUCUCUGUA